AAGUACGUAAUUAAAUACCCUCAUAUAUCCAUGGGAAUAGGGCCCAUAAGUUUCUACCCAGUUACCGUAAAUGACUGGACUAUGAGGGAAAGUAGCGCAGGG
rnacentral:ncRNA from 2 species